rnacentral:rRNA from 1 species
GUCCACGCUGUAAACGAUGGGCACUAGGUGUCGCGGGUAUUGACCCCUGCGGUGCCGCAGCUAACGCACUAAGUGCCCCGCCUGGGGACUACGGCCGCAAGGUUAAAACUCAAAGGAAUUGACGGGGGCCCGCACAAGCGGUGGAGCAUGUGGUUCAAUUCGACGCAACGCGAAGAACCUUACCCGGGCUAGACAACAGAGGACCGGCUUAGAAAUAAGCUCUUCCCUUCGGGGACCUCUGGUUCAGGUGCUGCAUGGCUGUCGU